rnacentral:rRNA from 1 species
GACGAACGCUGGCGGCGUGCUUAACACAUGCAAGUCGAACGAAGUGGCGAACGGGUGAGUAAUACGUGAGUAACCUGCCCUCCUUUUUGGGAUAAGCCUUGGAAACGGGGUCUAAUACCGGAUAAAGGGGGAUGGGCUCGCGGCCUAUCAGCUUGUUGGUGGGGUGAUGGCCUACCAAGGCGGUGACGGGUAGCCGGCCUGAGAGGGUGACCGGCCACAUUGGGACUGAGAUACGGCCCAGACUCCUACGGGAGGCAGCAGUGGGGGAUAUUGCACAAUGGGCGAAAGCCUGAUGCAGCGACGCCGCGGUAAUUC